GCUGGCAGUCGUAUAAUUUAUAUUUACUGUGGGAAUGCCAAAGAUGAAGCUACAAGUAAAACUGCAGAACGCUGACGAGCAACAUCAAAAAAUGAGCAAAGACUG